rnacentral:rRNA from 1 species
AACUAACGCUGGCGGCGUGCCUAACACAUGCAAGUCGUACGAGAAAGUCGGCUUCGGCUGAUGAGUAAAGUGGCGCACGGGUGAGUAACGCGUGGAUAAUCUGCCCUUGAGUGUGGAAUAACGUACCGAAAGGUGCGCUAAUACCGCAUAAUGCCUGGCAACACAAGUUGUCCGGCCAAAGAAGGCCUCUGUUUACAAGCUUUUGCUCAAGGAUGAGUCCGCGUACCAUUAGCUAGUUGGUGGGGUAACGGCCUACCAAGGCUACGAUGGUUAGCUGGUCUGAGAGGAUGAUCAGCCACACUGGAACUGAGACACGGUCCAGACUCCUACGGGAGGCAGCAGUGAGGAAUAUUGCGCAAUGGGGCAACCCGUGACGCAGCAACGCCGCGUGAGUGAGGAAGGUUUUCGGACUGUAAAGCUCUGUCCGAGCCGGGAGAAAUGUACCAUGGCUAAUAUCCCAUGAUAUUUGACGGUACCGCUAGAGG